rnacentral:rRNA from 1 species
UUGAACGCUGGCGGCAGGCCUAACACACGCAAGUCGAGCGGCAGCGCGGGGCAACCUGGCGGCGAGCGGCGGACGGGUGAGUAACGCGUAGGAAUCUACCCAGUAGCGGGGGAUAGCCCGGGGAAACUCGGAUUAAUACCGCAUACGCCCUAAGGGGGAAAGCAGGGGAUCGUAAGACCUUGCACUAUUGGAAGAGCCUGCGUUGGAUUAGCUAGUUGGUAGGGUAAAGGCCUACCAAGGCGACGAUCCAUAACUGGUCUGAGAGGAUGAUCAGUGACACCGGAACUGAGACACGGUCCGGACUCCUACGGGAGGCAGCAGUGGGGAAUAUUGGACAAUGGGGGCAACCCUGAUUCAGCCAUGCCGCGUGUGUGAAGAAGGCCUUCGGGUUGUAAAGCACUUUAAGUGGGGAGAAAGGUUCGGCAGCUAAUACCUGCCGGAAGUGAUGUUACCCACAGAAUAAGCACCGGCUAACUCUGUGCCAGCAGCCGCCGUAA